rnacentral:rRNA from 1 species
AAGAGCUCAAAUUUGAAAUCUGGCAGUCUUCGAUUGUCCGAGUUGUAAUCUAUAGAGGCGUUUUCCGUGCCGGACCGUGUCCAAGUCUCCUGGAAAGGAGUAUCAAAGAGGGUGAUAAUCCCGUACUUAACACGACCACCGGUGCUCUGUGAUACGUCUUCUACGAGUCGAGUUGUUUGGGAAUGCAGCUCAAAAUGGGUGGUGAAUUCCAUCUAAAGCUAAAUAUUGGCGAGAGACCGAUAGCGAACAAGUACCGUGAGGGAAAGAUGAAAAGCACUUUGGAAAGAGAGUUAAACAGUACGUGAAAUUGUUGAAAGGGAAACGAUUGAAGUCAGUCGUGUUCUUUGGAUUCAGCCAGUUCUGCUGGUCUACUUCCUUGGAACGGGUCAACAUCAGUUUUGUCCGGUGGAUAAAGGUAGUAGGAAUGUGACUUCUCCGGAAGUGUUAUAGCCUAUUAUCACAUACACUGGGUGAGACUGAGGACUGCAGCUCGCCUUUAUGGCCGGCCUUCGGGCACGUUCGAGCUUAGGAUGUUGACAUAAUGGCUUUAAACGACCCGUCUUG